UUGUUCCAGGUGAGGUCAGACUAGCUACAGACUGACCUGUGUUGUUCAUGGUGAGGUCAGACGAGCUACAGACUGACCUGUAUUGUUCCAGGUGAGGUCAGACUAGCUACAGACUGACCUGUGUUGUUCAUGGUGAGGUCAGACUAGCUACAGACUGACCUGUGUUGUUCAUGGUGAGGUCAGACUAGCUACAGACUGACCUGUGUUGUUCAUAGUGAGGUCAGACUAGCUACAGACUGACCUGUGUUGUUCAUGGUGAGGUCAGACUAGCUACAGACUGACCUGUGUUGUUCAUGGUGAGGUCAGACUAGCUACAGACUGACCUGUGUUGUUCAUGGUGAGGUCAGACUAGCUACAGACUGACCUGUGUUGUUCAUGGUGAGGUCAGACUAGCUACAGACUGACCUGUGUUGUUCCAGGUGAGGUCAGACUAGCUACAGACUGACCUGUGUUGUUCCAGGUGAGGUCAGACUAGCUACAGACUGACCUGUGUUGCUCAUGGUGAGGUCAGACUAGCUACAGACUGACCUGUGUUGUUCAUGGUGAGGUCAGACUAGCUACAGACUGACCUGUGUUGUUCAUGGUGAGGUCAGACUAGCUACAGACUGACCUGUGUUGUUCAUGGUGAGGUCAGACUAGCUACAGACUGACCUGUGUUGUUCCAGGUGAGGUCAGACUAGCUACAGACUGACCUGUGUUGUUCAUGGUGAGGUCAGACUAGCUACAGACUGACCUGUGUUGUUCCAGGUGAGGUCAGACUAGCUACAGACUGACCUGUGUUGUUCAUGGUGAGGUCAGACUAGCUACAGACUGACCUGUGUUGUUCAUGGUGAGGUCAGACUAGCUACAGACUGACCUGUGUUGUUCAUGGUGAGGUCAGACUAGCUACAGACUGACCUGUGUUGUUCCAGGUGAGGUCAGACUAGCUACAGACUGACCUGUGUUGUUCAUAGUGAGGUCAGACUAGCUACAGACUGACCUGUGUUGUUCAUGGUGAGGUCAGACUAGCUACAGACUGACCUGUGUUGUUCAUGGUGAGGUCAGACUAGCUACAGACUGACCUGUGUUGUUCAUAGUGAGGUCAGACUAGCU